rnacentral:misc_RNA from 1 species
UUUCCGUAGGUGAACCUGCGGAAGGAUCAUCAUCAAGUUUUAACUAAUAUCAAGGACUCUGUGAGGGGCAACCUUUGCAGAUUCUCCUUGGUAUUUAACCAAUGUGAAUUGGGGGAAGUAUAUUGAAGGACGCAAGUCUUGACUAUAUAUUGAACUCAUUUUUUCUCUUGAUGCAAAGACCAAUGCGUGUCAAAGCACAUAUGUUUUAGUGUCUUGAGAGAUAUUAACUAUUAAAAGAGUCGGAUAAAAAACAAAAAAUUAAAAACAACUUUUAACAAUGGAUCUCUUGGCUCUU